rnacentral:misc_RNA from 1 species
AACAUUCACGACUGCUUGUUAAGUGGAAAACGUCAACCAUAGGGUCUACAUACGUGAAACAAGCUGUUGGAGAGCGCAAGCCACGUGGCAAGGAAGUCGAGGAAUGGUGGUGGUUUGCUUCCGGUACAAGCUGCAACGACUUCCUGAAUUGUCCAUGGUGUGACCAUAACAAUGAAUCCUAAACUCAUUGCAGCCAUUGUUCGCGAGGCAGAAGUUGACAGUCGUCUCUCGUGAGCUACAAGCUGAAAUAUGUAAAUGAAAUGAAUUCACUUAACGUCUCUUGCUCAUUGUCGGUAAUAUAUGUAUAUUACGUUAAACGUUUAAAUGCUUCACGAAUCAAUUCUUUCUAAAAGAUAUUAAUGAUUUUAUGAUAAUCAGGGGUUUAUAAUAAGCGUAAAUUUCAAGCUUGUUGAAUACUAGCAUUCCCA